rnacentral:rRNA from 1 species
UAAAGAAUUUCGGUAUGGGAUGGGGAUGCGUUCCAUUAGUUAGUUGGCGGGGUAACGGCCCACCAAGACAACGAUGGAUAGGGGUUCUGAGAGGAAGGUCCCCCACAUUGGAACUGAGACACGGUCCAAACUCCUACGGGAGGCAGCAGUGAGGAAUAUUGGUCAAUGGACGAGAAUCUGAACCAGCCAAGUAGCGUGAAGGAUGACUGCCCUAUGGGUUGUAAACUUCUUUUAUAUGGGAAUAAAAUGUUCCACGUGUGGGAUUUUGUAUGUACCAUAUGAAUAAGGAUCGGCUAACUCCGUGCCAGCAGCCGCGGUAAUACGGAGGAUCCGAGCGUUAUCCGGAUUUAUUGGGUUUAAAGGGAGCGUAGGUGGAUUGUUAAGUCAGUUGUGAAAGUUUGCGGCCCAACCGUAAAAUUGCAGUUGAAACUGGCAGUCUUGAGUACAGUAGAGGUGGGCGGAAUUCGUGGUGUAGCGGUGAAAUGCUUAGAUAUCACGAAGAACUCCGAUUGCGAAGGCAGCUCACUGGACUGCAACUGACACUGAGGCUCGAAAGUGUGGGUAUCAAACAGGAUUAGAUACCCUGGUAGUCCACACAGUAAACGAUGAAUACUCGCUGUUUGCGAUAUACAGUAA